AUAUAUAAACCAGCAGAACUAAAAUGUGAGCUGAAAAAUAAGAAUAAAUAGU
rnacentral:guide_RNA from 1 species